AGUUUAAUGUAGUUCAUAUUAAAUUUUUUCUGCUCAAUGAGAUUUCUCUUAAAUAGCCGCAGUACCUUGACUGUGCAAAGGUAGCAUAAUAAGUUGGCUUUUAAUUGAAGUCUGGAAUGAAUGAAAGAUUGGAUGUUGACUGUCUUAUUUUUUUUUAAUUUUAAAUUACUUAGUAGGUGAAAACUCCUACAUUAAAAAAAAAGACGAGAAGACCCUAGAAAUUUUUUAAAAAAAAUUAGUACAAUUUACUUUUUUGUUGGGGCAACAAGGUUACAAUAAACUAACCUCAAAGAGGACAUUCAUAAGUAGAACUAUAUUAAGAUGGAAAUAAAUUACUCUAGGGAUAACAGCAUAAUUUUAUAGUUUAGUUUGUGACCUCGAUGUUGGACUAGGAAGUUUUAGGUUAAAAGAUCUAAAAUAAAGUUCUGUUCGAACAAAAUCUCCUACAUG
rnacentral:rRNA from 1 species